rnacentral:rRNA from 1 species
CGAGGGGCAGCGGGGUUGUAGCAAUACAACUGCCGGCGACCGGCGCACGGGUGAGUAACACGUAUGUAACCUGCCCUCUGCAGGGGGAUAAGCGGAAGAAAUUCCGUCUAAUACCGCGUGACGCGGCGCCGGGGCAUCCCGGUGCCGCCAAAGGGAUUACCGGUGGCGGAUGGGCAUGCGGCGCAUUAGCUAGUCGGCGGGGUAACGGCCCACCGAGGCGACGAUGCGUAGGGGUUCUGAGAGGAAGGUCCCCCACACUGGUACUGAGACACGGACCAGACUCCUACGGGAGGCAGCAGUGAGGAAUAUUGGUCAAUGGGCGCGAGCCUGAACCAGCCAAGUCGCGUGAGGGAUGACGGUCCUACGGAUUGUAAACCUCUUUUGCCGGGGAGCAAGCGUGCGUUCGUGAACGCACGUCGAGAGUACCCGGAGAAAAAGCAUCGGCUAACUCCGUGCCAGCAGCCGCGGUAAUACGGAGGAUGCGAGCGUUAUCCGGAUUUAUUGGGUUUAAAGGGUGCGUAGGCGGGAUGCCAAGUCAGCGGUAAAAAUGCGGUGCUCAACGCCGUCGAGCCGUUGAAACUGGCGUUCUUGAGUGGGCGAGAAGUAUGCGGAAUGCGUGGUGUAGCGGUGAAACGCAUAGAUAUCACGCAGAACUCCGAUUGCGAAGGCAGCAUACCGGCGCCCUACUGACGCUGAGGCACGAAAGCGUGGGUAUCGAACAGGAUUAGAUACCCUGGUAGUCCACGCAGUAAACGAUGAAUGCUAACUGUCCGGCGCGAAUGAGCGCUGGGCGGUACAGCGAAAGCGUUAAGCAUUCCACCUGGGGAGUA